UUCAAUGUCAUCAGUGUAAUCGAUGUUCACAAAGUCUACCCUCGUCAGGCAUCUUGCUAUGUCUUGAUCAAUCAACGCCCUCCUUUGGCGCAUAGUCGCUGCUUGUUCCUGUCGGAUCAUUUCGGCCCUCUCCUGGGUUGUAGCCUGUCUGUGAUUGGUCACCAGACCAGAUCUUUGACGGCAUAGGUCCUUAAUAGGGUUUCAACUGAUCAACAUGCAGGACUAAUAUUGUUUGCGAUGGAGGGGGUCCCACUAUCAAAUACAAGGAAGUAUCAACCUCACGUCCCAGCAUCUAGAGAUUUGGAGGGCAAUCAGUACUAAUCCCUGUUUCCGUUGGACACACAGAUCACAUUGACACACCCAUAAUGCUAAAUUUGUGUAAAACUUUGGCCAAUAAAAUCAACACUUGAUUGCUUCAAUCGUCCUAUCCCUACCAAGAUGACAAGAUUAUCUUUGACAGUGCAGAUGCUCAAAUAUCUCAGUUCUAAUUUCAAGGAGAGCUGCCAGACACAACGAGUUGGAAACUUAUUCCUCGACUAAUGUUUAGUCAAAUAUUACA